rnacentral:misc_RNA from 1 species
CACGUACUGUGCGAACGUUAUUCGGAAUCACUGGGCUUAAAGGGUGCGUAGGCGGCCAAACCAGUCGGAUGUGAAAGGCAACGGCUCAACCGUUGCAUUGCGUUCGAAACUGUUUGGCUUGAGUCAGCUAGGGGUGUGUGGAACUGCCAGUGGAGCGGUGAAAUGUGUUGAGAUUGGCAGGAACGCCGGUGGCGAAAGCGACACACUGGGGCUGUUCUGACGCUGAGGCACGAAAGCCAGGGGAGCGAACGGG